UCCCCCGCUACUCCUCCCUGAGCGGGUACCCGCCCCAGCGGCGGGAAAGUUUGUCCCCGUUGCUUGCAGCGGGGCUUUUUUUU
rfam:Ralstonia eutropha H16 chromosome 1